CUUCCAAUGCCUUUGCCCUGUGUCUCAACUAACUUUGAAAUAGAGGGACCUUCUUAUAGGAAGAAGAAGGAAAAAUCAAGUGGAAAAACACCUUCAUCAGCUGCUGAGGCCAGAGUUCACGGAGAGCGGGCGGCUGACCCAGAUCCCAUAUCUCCUCCCAGCUGUGAAAGCUUCUCUGCCAAUCAGCCACCAGAGUCUUCAAGGCUAAAUAAGAGGUAAUGAGUCUGCUAGAAAAAUGGGUCAGAGGUCCAUUAACUCAGGCUCAGACGUGGCUGAGAGCCUGCUUUCACUAUGGCAAUGCCUCCAGCACGAGGCAGAGGUGGGGGCUUGGACUCUUCGAGAGAGGGGUUGAAGAUGGAGCCUCAAAUGCCUGAGGGGCCCAGGCCAGCUUCCUGGGGACUUGCUACCUGCCCUGCCAUCUGGCCCUUGGAGGAGUCAAAGGCAUGUGCCACAUACUUAAUGCUUUGAGUAUCAUUUCAUUUAACCCUCUCAACAACACGCUGUGGGAUGCUGUACAGUGGCUGUCUCUACUUUAUAGAUGAGGAAACUGAAGCACAGCCAGGGGAGGGAAUCUGCCCAGAGUCUCACAGUCAGCAACGGGAGGAGCUGGGAUUCACUCCCAGGGAUGGAAGGUGCCCUUUCUGUUAUAGUUUCACCCAGGGUCGAAGUCAGGCUCAUUUAGGCCAGGCUCUUUCGUGCAGCCAGCUGUCUCUAUGAGCUCCUGUUCCAGAGAGCCAGCUGCAUUGGGAGGUGUCUCUGUGGGUCCUGGGUGCCUCACGCCCUCCACACUCAAACCUGAGCUCCCCUGACCUGCCCCUGCUCUGUCCGCCUCGUGGAGACAGGAGACUCUCCGCAUGGAAUUAGGCUCCCAAAGCCAUUCUGAUCUCCUGCUGCUCCCUCAACCUCACACCCAGUGAUCCGUGCAUCAAACAUACACUGAGCACCUAUGAUGUGCCGGGCACUGAUCUAGGUUCAAAGGAGAAACCAGUGGACAAAAUCAACAAACAUUUCUACAUUCCAUCUCGCAGGGGCUAACUCAAGAGGAAACAUGAAUAAGCAAAUGAUGUGCCUCACGGACUGCCUUGGAGGGUGUGGAGCAGGGUAAGGAACUGGGAAUCUUGGAGGAGGUUGCAAUAUUUAUUGGGGUAGUCGCAGCAUGCCUUAUUGAGAAGCUAACCCUUGAGCAA
rnacentral:lncRNA from 1 species